ACUCCUACGGGAGGCAGCAGUGGGGAAUAUUGCACAAUGGGCGAAAGCCUGAUGCAGCAACGCCGCGUGAAGGAAGAAGGCUUUCGAGUCGUAAACUUCUGUCCAAAGGGAAGAAUAAUGACGGUACCUUUGAAGAAAGCCCCGGCUAACUACGUGCCAGCAGCCGCGGUAAUACGUAGGGGGCGAGCGUUAUCCGGAAUUACUGGGCGUAAAGAGUAUGUAGGUGGUUAAGUAAGCGUAGGGUUUAAGGCGACAGCCCAACUGUCGUAUGCCCCGCGAACUGUUUAACUUGAGUACAGGAGGGGAAGGCGGAAUUCCUAGUGUAGCGGUGAAAUGCGUAGAUAUUAGGAGGAACACCAGUGGCGAAGGCGGCCUUCUGGACUGUAACUGACACUGAGAUACGAAAGCGUGGGUAGCAAACAGGAUUAGAUACCCUUGUAGUCC
rnacentral:rRNA from 1 species